GCUGGGCACAGGGGUCAAGUCUGUAGUUCCAGUUACUCAGGAGGUUGAGACAGGAGGAUUGCUUGAGCCCAGGAAUUCAAAGCCAACUUGAGCAAUAUAGCAAGACCCUGUUUCAG
rnacentral:sRNA from 1 species